rnacentral:rRNA from 1 species
UACGUAGGGGGCAAGCGUUGUCCGGAUUUAUUGGGCGUAAAGAGCGUGUAGGCGGCUAGAUAGGUCCGUUGUGAAAACUCGAGGCUCAACCUCGAGACGUCGAUGGAAACCAUCUGGCUAGAGUCCGGAAGAGGAGAGUGGAAUUCCUGGUGUAGCGGUGAAAUGCGCAGAUAUCAGGAAGAACACCCGUGGCGAAGGCGGCCCUCUGGUACGUGACUGACGCUGAGACGCGAAAGCGUGGGGAGCAAACAGG